GCCUUGGAAGCGCAGUCAGAGAUAGAGCAGCGGUUUCCUAAACCGCAGGUCGGGUGUUCGAGUCACCCCGGGAUCG
rnacentral:tRNA from 1 species